CUUGGGACCAUUAAAAGAGGGACAUGGGGCCCUGAGGAUAGCUUCGAGACUUGAAUAUGAGGGACCCACACCCCUGGAACCAAACAUGCCUCUCCCUGUCCCCAGAGUACAGCAGGACCCGAACGGAGCCUGGACAGACGGACAUGUCCAAACUCUCAACAUCUGGCCACAUGGUGUUUGACGUGGGCUCCGUGAGAUGAGGCUGCUUCCAGGAACUCCGUCUCUUCCCUGGCUGCAACCCUGAUGCUGGCAGCUGGUGGCCGGCAGAGCCAGAGCGUGAGGCCCACAGGGUGGCGCCGCCAGAACAGGAGCACCAGUUUGAUGGAAG